rnacentral:rRNA from 1 species
GGAUCAAAGCUCAGGCGGCAUAGGAUGGGCCUGCGGCGUAUCAGGUUGUAGGGGUUGUAAAGUACCCUCUAGCCAUCUACGCGUACGGGUGUUGGGAGACAUAGCCCGGAGAUGGAUUCUGAGACACGAAUCCAGACCCUACGGGGUGCAGCAGGCGCGAAAACUUGACAAUGCGAGCAAUCGUGAUCAGGGAACUCCAAGUGGCUGGGGUAAGACCCAGUCUUUUCAUAACUCUUCAAAGUUUGUAGAAUAAGGGGUGGGUAAGGACGGUGCCAGCCGCCGCGGUAAUACCGGCGCCUCAAGUGGUAGUCGCUUUUAUUGGGCCUAAAACGUCCGUAGCCGGUUUGGUACAUUCGUGGGUAAAUCAACUCGCUCAACGAGUUGAAUUCUGCGAGGACGGCCAGACUUGGGACCGGGAGAGGUGUGGGGUACUCUCAGGGUAGGGGUAAAAUCCUGUCAUCCUGAGAGGACCACCUGUUGCGAAGGCGCCACACUAGAACGGAUCCGACGGUCAGGGACGAAGCCUAGGGGCACGAACCGGAUUAGAUACCCGGGUAGUCCUAGGUGUAAACGCUGUGGACUUGAUGUUGGAGAAGCUCCGAGCUUCUUCAGUGUCGAAGCGAAGGUGAUAAGUCCACUGCCUGGGAAGUACGGUCGCAAGGCUGA